rnacentral:rRNA from 1 species
UACGGGGGGGGCAAGCGUUGUUCGGAAUUACUGGGCGUAAAGGGUUCGUAGGUGGCCUACUAAGUCAGACGUGAAAUCCCUCAGCUUAACUGGGGAACUGCGUCUGAUACUGGAAGGCUUGAGGACAGGAGAGGAACGCGGAAUUCCAGGUGUAGCGGUGAAAUGCGCAGAUAUCGGGAGGAACACCAGUAGCGAAGGCGGCACUCUGGGCCGGUACUGACGCUGAGGAGCGAAAGCGUGGGGAGCGAACAGG